rnacentral:rRNA from 1 species
UACGUAGGGUGCAAGCGUUGUCCGGAAUUAUUGGGCGUAAAGAGCGUGUAGGCGGCCAGAUAGGUCAGCUGUGAAAACUCGAGGCUCAACCUCGAGACGCCGGUUGAAACCAUUUGGCUAGAGUCCGGAAGAGGAGAGUGGAAUUCCUGGUGUAGCGGUGAAAUGCGCAGAUAUCAGGAAGAACACCCGUGGCUAAGGCGGCUCUCUAGUACGGUACUGACGCUGAGACGCGAAAGCGUGGGGAGCGAACAGG